GGAAAGAGAGGGCGGGACUUUUACACAAGUAAAAUUUGCUUGACGUCAUUUUUACACAAUAUCCUUGAAUAGCACCUGUGUGCAGGGGGGUUGUCUGUCUGUCAGCUUUGAGUAAAAAACAUAACCCAUGUCUGCAAAACCUACCCAUUAGUAUCCACCACUGACCAGAGACGCAGAGCUUUCCUCGCGCCCGGGGCCCUUCAGGACCGGCCGUUUUUUCAAGAGAGAAGACUCCUCGGGAAGCAUUGGUCCUACAGUCUUUCCUAAGCGAACCUGUAGUUUUGUUUCCUAUUUUCAGCUAAAGCACCUUGGAGUUUGUAGCAGUACUCCAUUCAUCUGGCCUCUGUUUUAUUUUCAAGUGCUGCAGAGACUCCAAUUAUCAGCGGGAGCCUUAUUUUUCCUCUUUUUCUUUGCCUAUUUUUCUUUCUUUUUCGUCAAAGGCAAGCCCUUUCGACUAUAAACUGGUCCCUUUGAGAGACGCACAAUGGCUGUUCGUGGUCACCAGCUAUUAAGGACUUUGAAUGCAUAUUUCAGAACAUAUGGACCAAGGAAAUGUAGAUUAAUUAGACAGAAGAGAUCUGUUGUACAUCAUGUACAUCAUUCUGAUCAUUGAUUCAUGCUCAAAUGGGACAGUGACUGCAGUCUGCAGGCCAGGUGUUGCAUUGACCGAAAGAAGCGGCGAAUAAAAUCAUGACUAAUGAGUUUGUGAAUUUCUCUUAUUCUGUAAGCUCAGAUGUCUCCAGUGGUAAUGCAUGCCUCUUUUAGUUGAUUAAUAUCUGAUUUUUCAUUUUUGACUUUUUAUUAAAAAAAAUAAAACCAGCUUUUUCUGUGAUUAGUCAGAGAAGUCCA
ensembl:lncRNA